AUGUAUAACUAUAUAAAUCCUAAAAACCCUAGUUUCAACAGAGUCGUCGUCCAUUUCAAUUUUCAUAUUUGUAUAAUACGUCGUCAGGCUGUGAUUGGAAGCUGGGAGUAGUAACCUGAAUCUACAAUGGCCAACGGUCCAGCACCCUUUUCAGAUAUUGGCAAACGAGCAAAAGGCAAGUGAUAGGAGUAAAACCCCGUAUCACCGGUUCAAAUAAAACGGUAAAAUAAAAGAUAGAUCUACGGUUCGUUUUGGA
rnacentral:lncRNA from 1 species